rnacentral:rRNA from 1 species
AUUGAACGCUGGCGGCAUGCCUUACACAUGCAAGUCGAACGGUAACAGGUCUUCGGAUGCUGACGAGUGGCGAACAGGUGAGUAAUACAUCGGAACGUGCCCGAUCGUGGGGGAUAACGAAGCGAAAGCUUUGCUAAUACCGCAUACGAUCUACGGAUGAAAGCAGGGGACCGCAAGGCCUUGCGCGAACGGAGCGGCCGAUGGCAGAUUAGGUAGUUGGUGGGAUAAAAGCUUACCAAGCCGACGAUCUGUAGCUGAUCUGAGAGGACGACCAGCCACACUGGGACUGAGACACGGCCCAGACUCCUACGGGAGGCAGCAGUGGGGAAUUUUGGACAAUGGGCGAAAGCCUGAUCCAGCCAUGCCGCGUGCAGGAUGAAGGCCUUCGGGUUGUAAACUGCUUUUGUACGGAACGAAAAGGCUCUGGUUAAUACCUGGGGUCCAUGACGGUACCGUAAGAAUAAGCACCGGCUAACUACGUGCCAGCCGCCGCGGUAAUAC